UGGGGAAUAUUGCACAAUGGGCGAAAGCCUGACGGAGCAACGCCGCGUGAGUGAUGAAGGUCUUCGGAUCGUAAAACUCUGUUAUUAGGGAAGAACAAAUGUGUAAGUAACUUUGCACGUCUUGACGGUACCUAAUCAGAAAGCCACGGCUAACUACGUGCCAGCAGCCGCGGUAAUACGUAGGUGGCAAGCGUUAUCCGGAAUUAUUGGGCGUAAAGCGCGCGUAGGCGGUUUUUUAAGUCUGAUGUGAAAGCCCACGGCUCAACCGUGGAGGGUCAUUGGAAACUGGAAAACUUGAGUGCAGAAGAGGAAAGUGGAAUUCCAUGUGUAGCGGUGAAAUGCGCAGAGAUAUGGAGGAACACCAGUGGCGAAGGCGACUUUCUGGUCUGUAACUGACGCUGAUGUGCGAAAGCGUGGGGAUCAAACA
rnacentral:rRNA from 1 species